rnacentral:lncRNA from 1 species
AGCUGAGCGUUUUUUGAUGACGUUACUGUUUUCUGGCAGUUCCCAAGCCGGAUCUAGAUUCAUACGUGUUUUUGAGAGUGAAAGAACGACAAGAAAACAUAUUGGUAGAGCCAGAAACAGACGAGCAGAGGGAUUAUGUGAUUGACUUGGAGGAAGGCUCGCAGCACUUGAUCCGAUAUAAAACCAUUGCACCUCUGGUUGCUUCUGGAGCAGUACAGCUAAUUUAAAACCAAAAAUGAACAAGGAAGAAUGAAGACAUGGAACCUGAGAGAAAAUAUUUAGAUACCCCUCAUAUCACUUUGUGCCUAAAGACAAGAGACUUUUCUCAGCAGUGCUGUGGAUCAUUUGGGCCCUGAGAAGGUGCUCAGGGCAGAUUCCUAACUGGCUGCGUGUCCUAACUUUCCGCUGUUUUAGCCAGAACCAGCAGAUGGGGCCCUUACUCUGUUGAUUCUGCACGCUGGGCGGUUACAUGGAGACUUUCGCUUUGUGCGCCUCCCCUUGGUGGUUAUUUUUUGAACUAAGGAAAGUGAGGCGAAGGUAGUUCAUACAGAGAUAUCACUGCCUGUGAUUAGGAGACAGUCAUUAGCCCUGACCUGAUACUGGCAGGAGAGUUCAUUUAACCAUCCUAGUAGGAAGAGUCUAAAUAGGUUAAGGAAAACAACUGCAGUCUUCUUCUAUGCCGUGUCACUAACUUGUGUAAACUAACCUUUUGGAAGUUCUGAAUAGGACUUAAAACCAACUCCUCUCAUGCUUAACUGGGAGUCACAACUAAACCAAUAACCAUUAUUAAGUUUCAGUUUUGUGGCAGAAAAAACCUCGGGAGAGUUGUUGACUUGUAGUCUAAUGCAGUAUGUCCUCCCUGCUGCUGACCUGCAGCCUUCCCUGAAUCUCAGAGCGUGGCCAAGCCAGCCUCCAUGCCAUCUGGCCAUCCUUUUCCAGAGCUCUUAGCACAGCAACAUUGAUAUCCUAUAUUGUGACCUCAGUAGCAACUUUUCUUUUUUAAGCACUUCGCUUUCUCAAGGGAAAUGGAUGAAAUUAAACUAAUGUGUGAAUAGAGACUAUCACCAAUACCCAAAGGAGGGAUGUGAACAGUGAAUGAACCAUCUUUCUUUCAAACAUAACAAGCAGCCUGGAUUCCAGUCUUUUCUUGCUUAAUAAAAAGGCAGGAGAUUUUCACUUACACGUCAUAGGCUGUAGAGUAAUUGAUGUAAUAUUGUUGUCAUUUCCAAGAGAAAUCGCUAGAUGAAAGCAAGGAAGGUUUUAUGCAUUUUAUAUUCAUA